UCGUUGAAACAUUGAUUCCUGCACGAUCACCAAAGAUAAGCAACGUCGAGCCUAGUCAGUACUUAGAUGGGUGACCACUUGAGAAUACCAGGUACUGUAAG